GGUACUGACUCGCACUCCCAUCAGACCAGUGCCAAGAUGCGUGACAACCCGGCCACGGACAACAGCCGAUCGACUGUCAGGAAACAACAAUGUUAACGAUCCAAUAGCUGUCUCUGCUUGAUCGUGUCAAACUAAGUGAUUCCAGAACAUACUGACCGGGCAGCACGGAUAAAACAGAGCCGAGUUAAAAUGAUGUGAUUAAAGGCGAAACUAGACGGAGAGAUAGAGAAGAAGAAGAAGAAAUUGAAGAUGGAGAAGAGAAUAGAAAAUAGAGAGAAGGAAGGAAAUAUAUGAGUAGAGAAAUAAUUUGGUUAAUCCUACUGGGUUUUUUAGAUUAUUUUUAACCCAAAUCUAUGUUUCUAAAGUUGAAAUAUACAUCAAAAAAGUAAAUUUUAUUAUUCGAUAAAUUUCAUGUAUUAAAGCAUUUUUGUUUCUUGAGAAGAAAGUAAAGAUUGAAAAAUAAGAAUUAGAAGGAUAGUAGUAUAGGAAUAAGAGGAACGCAGCGGGGUUAAUCUAGGAUAAUAGAAGAAAGAAGGUGGCUUUGCGUUUCAAUUUUAUGUCAAAUAUCUUCAAACAUUGAAAGUUUUUUUGUUCAAUAAAAUAAAAAUUCGAGGAUCUUAGUAAGGGUAAGUAAGGGUAAUAGGGGAUGAAAUAGAGAUCUUGUAUAUAGAAAGACCACGUGAAAAGAGUUCUCGAAAUGUCCCGAAAUGUUUCGAAAUAUCUUCGAAAGAAAGUUAGGCAGAAGUCUUUAGGAAUCAGUUCCAAAAAUGCGGCUGGGAAGACACGGUUCUAAAUAUAAUGACUCACAAAAGUAUUCGAACACUUGUAGAUACUUUUUAUGAAUACGUUAUGUGUGUUAUACGAAACAUAAAGAACAUUCACUAAUUUCUUUGUCUUAAUUUUAUGUAAUAUUUUUAGACGUUAGGUAACAAUUAUAAUUUUACCAUAUAUACUAUAUAAACACUAUAUAAUAAAUGUCCGUCAAUUUUGUCUGUGUUAAACUAUCAAAAUGUUUUACAUAACACACACAAUACACGCAUAAAAAGAUUUCCAUGGUAAAUAUUCAAAUACUUCCAUGAACUACUAUAGAUUUUUAAUUACUCUUUUAAUAAAUGAUCAUAGGCGUAAAGCUCGAGGCUCGUAGAUGGUGUCACACAUUCACGCAAGCUCCACUCGGACGGACACGUGAAAUAGAAAUAGAAAGAAAGAAAGAAAGAACAGUGUAUAUGGAGAAGACCGUCGAUCGUUCGUUGUAUCAUCGAUCGAUUUCAUAUUGAAUGAUUAAGAGAGCAGCGAAUAUAGUCGAAGAAGAAAGUAUAGAAUGAGAGUGUAGAGUGAAGAGAACUGGGGGUUCAGUGCAGGGCACACGCUCGCGCACACUUAGAAUGAUUCUCUAAAGUAACGAGACGCGUUGGACGAAGGAGAAUCGUAAUACGUGCUGAACAAACUCACCUUUCGUUGAAGGUUUCUUGACGCGCGUAAUUUUGAAGACUGCCUUCGUCGAUUAAAAAUUUCAUCCUCUCGAAGAAGGAAGCGGUGAUGGCCGGCGGCUGCUUUCGCAGAAGUAUAUCGAUCGGCUUCGGUGCUGACACGCAAAGUUGGCUGCUACGACAUAUAUGAUUCGAGCAACAUUCCGGAUCCGCGCAAUCGAUGAGACCGUCUGGAAAAGUAUAGUAAUGGGUUCUUUAUAUCGGAGACUAAUGGCUCUAAAUGGCUGGCAUAAGCCACACCCAUGAUUUAGAGCUCGAAGUAAUAUGAAAAUGAAACGCGAAAACACGAAGUUCUGUUCAAGAAGCACGUUGCAGUCCUUGCCAUCCCAACCAUCGUAACACCUGCAUUCCCAUUGACCAUCGUUGCCGACUCUACACUGUCCGUGUCCAGAGCAGGAAUUCGGGCAACCUUCCAUAGUGCAGUGUUUUCCAUUCCAACCAGUCACGCACAAACAGGUCCCGUUUUUACACUGGCCGUGUUCGUUGCAUCGAGGAUCGCAUUGCUUCAGAUUACACAAUUCGCCGGACCAUCCGGGCAAACAGUCGCAAGCAUUGUCAACGCAAUGCCCGUGGGGACCGCAAUCCAAAUCGCAUAAUUCUGAAAAUUAUGGGAAAUAUUGUUAUUAUAUAAAUAGAGGGAUUUGUAGGAGUUGUCCUUAGAUAACUGCGGAUUGUAUGCAAAUUAGUAUUUUUGCACAGCGAAAAGAUAGAACUUAAAUAGAGAUCUGUUUUAACUAUUGAAAAUUCUCUACUUUGAACUCUCUAGCUCUUUGAAAUUUCCUAUUUGUUACUUAUCAAAAAUUUGUUACCCUAUUUUAAAUAUUUUAUAUAUUUUUGCAUUUUUAAAUUUCGCAUAAGUGCAUAAAAGUCCGCAGUCUGGUUGUCACUAUAUCUAUUUUUGUAACAAUUACGAAUCAUUAGUUUGAGUAACAGAAAUCACAAUUAAUAUAAUUUUUCAAAAUUUUGCGAAUAUCUUUAAGAAACACUAGUUAGCAUAGGCACUAAGCAACACAGAAGCUGGGAGAAAACCUUUUACAAUUUUGUAAAAGAUGGAAUUAGUUAACACUAAUGGGUAAUUGGAUCAAUGAUCACAAUUAGCAAAGGAGUAAAAAAAUCGGAAAAACGAACGAAAUGGAGAAUUAUGUCGAUAUAAAAUAGAGAAUUUCAUCGAUGUCAUACCUGGAAACAUAAGAAUCGAUUAAUUGAAGCGAACUUUCAUACAUAUUAUAUGAAGAAGAUUUGAAGUUACGACACAAUUUAGAAAGACAUUCCUAUGAAGAGCUAGAAUUAAUAACUUAAAACGCCAUUAAGACAAUCUACAUUAAUAUAAUCUACAUCAGAUUACACGCCAACCACUACCAUUGCUGUUUAUCGAUCGUCAUUUAGAUCAAAUUAGAAAUUCAUUUCCCGAUAAGACCAAUGAAUUUGAAAUGCAUAUUACUAAUUUAAACACGAUCACCAGUGAUAUUAUUCAAGCUUCGACAUUAUUCAUGUACGAUCUUAAUAUCGAAUCCUAUAUAAGAACACGGAGAACUUCGAAUAUUUCAAUAGAGGAAUAUUUAUUUAUAAUUUAUAUUAUAAAUUAAUAGAACAUUUUGACAGAAUAUAUAGCUCAGCUAUGUAUUCGUAUAUCUAAAUCUGACCAUUAACUUGUCUAUGUAAAGAAGAUUUUACUGCAAUCUGAUAUAUACAAUACAUGAUUGUUGCUAAUAUAACAUUUCUUACCUUUCGAGCAGUCGUCUCCAGACCACAUAGGCUCACAUAGACAAGUCUGCGUUUCAAGAUCGAAAUUUCCAUGUCCGCUGCAAUCGGGCAGACACUGUAACGCUUCUUUGUCCAUCUGGCUACAAUCUGCUCCUUUCCACCCCUUCUUACAAAUGCAGGUGCCCUCCGCGCAGAAACCAUGGCCAGAGCAAGUCGGAUGAGGGCAGUCCACUUCCUCGCAAUACUUUCCUUUGUAGCCACGUACGCAAUUGCACUUUCCAUUGGUGCAAUGGCCGUGUCCGUUACAAUCAGGCACUUCGCAUUCGUCGUGUCGCAGGGAACAUUCCUUGCCCUUCCAGCCAGGGUUGCAUUGGCACUCUCCGUUUAUGUACUCGCCUGUAGCCCAGAGGGAUAAAACGGUGUUAAAACGGAAACAUAAGAAAUUGUUUCCUUGCAAUGUUAGAUUGUACUGAAGCUUAAUCGAAGGUGAAGCUCGGUACUUAUUGAGCCUCGAGGUUCUGGUUAGAUAGAAUUGUAUCAUAACCAUGAGACAUUGCAACGAUUGAAACAUGUUUCGCUAGAAAUUUUGAAUAGAGAAUGUUAGAUAUACCAUGGUUAAAUGUAAGUAUAUUCGUAAGUAUUAGGUCGUCCGAAAAGUUUCUUUCCUUUUAUGAGGAAAUAAUAGACGCACAACGUUUUUUGUUUUAUAUUAUUUUAUCGAAUUACGUAUGAUCCAUUUUGUUCUAUCAAGAUAAAGAUCACAACGUUUGACAGAUUAAGUUUCAUGUUUUUAUAAAGAUAUAUCGUUGUAAAAGACGUGUCUGUAAAGAAAGACACUUUUCGGACAACCUAAUAAGUAGGAACUCUGAUUUCAAGGUUUAAAUUCGGAAUAUUCUCAAGUUAUAGAUCUUUUUAAAAUGUUUCUCCUUGAUAUUAUUUAUUUUUUUUUUUGAAACUAAUACGAAAUAAAUAUUCACUUACCACGUUGACUACAGAGAACAGGACAAACGCUUUCGCUGCAAUCUUCGCCACCGAAACCAGGAUUACAUUGGCAGUGACCCAGCAGACAUUCGCCCUUUCCACUACAGCCAUUUGGACAAUUGUGCGUCAUGUCUUCCGCGAUCAUGGCUAUAAACGACACUUCCUGAGGAUCACCGUCGUCGUUGUAUAACGAAAGGAACCAAUGACCAGGCUCCAUAUAGUGCGUCACUUCCUUCUUGAUCGAUGGCUAGACGAGAAACCAG